GGGCCGUUCGGGCGGGAGCGCGGAGCAGCUGCGCGGUCAUCUGAUCCGGACAAAGGCGCCCGGAGCCGCGCCAGUGGACCAAUGGACGGCUCGGGUUACCGUGUAUCUUCUGUAGAGUGAUCCAGACGCAACGGAGUGAUCAGGUAUUUGGGAGCCUGUUGCCUAACAGCUGGAGGGAUGACCAUGGAGGACUUCAGCUUGGUCUUUGAGGAGUUUCCCUCUCCCCGGGCGUUCUGUGAUCUCAACAUCUGCCACAAUGAAAGCCACAUUUUGCCAGGACAGUGAAGUCCCUAGCAAUAAGCCGGCUACGGCACACCUCUGGCGAGGCCGUAGUGACCCGGCGCCCUACGCGGUACUGCUCAUCAACGUGACCUUUACUCCACACUCACACCUUUCGCCCUGGAUGACGCUGCGCGGGUGUUGGGGGUUGGGGAGACGGAAGGAGGAGCAGAUAGGGGUGGGAUAGAGACCUCACCGUGAGCCCUGCGCGAGGCUGGAUGCCAGAGUGGGAGUCCCUGCCCCACCUCAAUUCUGCACUGUGCCCGCAAGCUUGAAAGCAACUUAGCGCAUUGUGAGAUAACGUGCGUUCUCGGCCCUCCCAAUAAACUCAUUUCCCUUAAAAAAAAAAAAAAGAAAACAAAAGUUCUAGUGUCUGAUGGACGCGUAAAAACCUAAUAAGGUGAUGGUUGUGCGAAGGUGGCGGGCUGGGGGGGCCAUGCUGGAGAGGCUUUAGAACAUGUGCCGGACAUUGUUGCAGAGGCCGCCGCGCGCGCGGAGGGGAGCUCUUUCUCUCUGCAUUGUGCGGGGAGCAGG